rnacentral:rRNA from 1 species
CUACUGGAAACGGUGGCUAAUACCGCAUAACGUCGCAAGACCAAAGAGGGGGACCUUCGGGCCUCUUGCCAUCAGAUGUGCCCAGAUGGGAUUAGCUUGUUGGUGAGGUAACGGCUCACCAAGGCGACGAUCCCUAGCUGGUCUGAGAGGAUGACCAGCCACACUGGAACUGAGACACGGUCCAGACUCCUACGGGAGGCAGCAGUGGGGAAUAUUGCACAAUGGGCGCAAGCCUGAUGCAGCCAUGCCGCGUGUAUGAAGAAGGCCUUCGGGUUGUAAAGUACUUUCAGCGGGGAGGAAGGGAGUAAAGUUAAUACCUUUGCUCAUUGACGUUACCCGCAGAAGAAGCACCGGCUAACUCCGUGCCAGCAGCCGCGGUAAUACAGAGGGUGCAAGCGUUAAUCGGAAUUACUGGGCGUAAAGCGCACGCAGGCGGAUUGGUAAGUC